rnacentral:rRNA from 1 species
CUCCCUCGUUGCUGACCCCUGGUUCGAUAGUACCAAUUAGGCAUCACCUCGCCAAGAACCAACUUCGAUGAAGCGACGGGCGGUGUGUGCAAGGAG